UGAGUGAGCCAGGUGAUCGCAAGGGCUAUGCCCUUGAGGAAAGUCCGAGCUCCAAAGAGCAGGAUGCUGGGUAACGCCCAGUAAGGGUAACCUUAAGGACAGUGCUACAGAAACAAACCGCCCCCUAGGGUAAGGGUGAAAAGGUGAGGUAAAAGCUCACCGGCGGCCAGGUGACUGGCCGGCCGGGCAAACCCCAUCCGGAGCAAGGUCAAAUAGGGAAGAAGAGGCUGCUCGCCUCAUUUGACUUCCGGGUUGACUGCAGGAAGUUUUAGGUAACUAAAACUCUAGAUAGAUGAUCAUCCCAGACAGAACUCGGCUUAUCGGUUCACUCAGCUU
rnacentral:RNase_P_RNA from 1 species